rnacentral:lncRNA from 1 species
UAACUAUGAAGGAUUGCUGAUGGAAGUGCUUCAGUUAUUAGGCCUGUGAAAUGAGGAUGAUGAUGCUUGCUUCACAACAGAGGUCCAUAUAACCCUGAUAAGGGAACAGUGCUGCACAAGAGAUCCAGUGUCACUACAAGUGAUCACAAGUUGCAAGAAACUGCAAAGAAUUCAACCUCGACAGAACAAGGCAGAAAAUCUCAAAACGUGGGAUUUCUGAGUGUAUGUUCCUGAGAGAAAAAUUGAAUAUGCUGGACUAAAAGAAUCAGUUAAUUCCUUAAUAUACUGAUAUUACUAGUGAAAUUAUCCUAACUGGCCAAUUUGCA